rnacentral:rRNA from 1 species
ACUCCUACGGGAGGCAGCAGCCGAGAAUAUUCCGCAAUGGACGAAAGUCUGACGGAGCGACGCCGCGUGAAGGAUGAAGGCCCUUGGGUCGUAAACUUCUUUUAUGAGGGAGGAAAUUUUGACGUUACCUCAUGAAUAGGGAGCUCCUAAUUCCGUGCCAGCAGCCGCGGUAAU